rnacentral:lncRNA from 1 species
CGCCAUUUCUCACAACCUUUAUUCCUCUUCUCUUCAGUUCUCGUUGAUGGAGUCUCUACAACCUGUUUCGAUUGUGGCUUUUGGACUGCCUUCUUUGGACUGCUCGGUUUAACUCCAUUUGAUCUAGAACCAAGGUAAGAUCAUGUGGCCUCUUUGUUGACAUGUUUCUUCCAUUUGUCUCUCUCAGGUCGUGACUUCUUGACUUCCUUCUCUUGGUCACGCUCAUAUUCUGCUAUCAUCUCGGCUGUGCGUUUUUUGUACCUCCAUUCUUGCAACUUUUCUUCUUUUGUUUUGCGCGCUGCCUCCUCUUCAUGGUUGAUCAGUAGCCCAAACACAGGUGAUCUCUUAAAAGAUGAAGAGUUAAGAAUGGUUGGCUUCUCUUCAUGGUUUCUCUUCAGUAGUCCAAAAGACACAGAUGAUCUCUUAAAAAAUGAAGAGUUACGAAUGGCUGGCUGUAAAGAACUCCAAACCUCAGAGUGGCUCUGAUACCACAUGAUACGCCCUAAAUUGAAGGAUCACUCUAAGGUUGGUGGAUUGGAUAAGCCUUGCACCGAAUGAGCUAGAAAGCACAAACGAUCAAGGGAUGUGGAUCGAAUGGUGACACAAGAGGUG